AGGUUUGGAGUGGAAGUGUAGCGAUACAUGGAGCGGACAAAUACUAAUCGAUCGAGGACUUAACCAAA
rnacentral:rRNA from 3 species